rnacentral:rRNA from 1 species
UACGUAGGGUCCAAGCGUUGUCCGGAUUUAUUGGGCGUAAAGAGCUCGUAGGCGGCUCGGUAAGUCGGAUGUGAAAACUCGGGGCUCGACCCCGAGACGCCAUCCGAUACUGCUGUGGCUUGAGUCUGGUAGGGGAGAACGGAAUUCCUGGUGUAGCGGUGAAAUGCGCAGAUAUCAGGAGGAACACCGGUGGCGAAGGCGGUUCUCUGGGCCAGUACUGACGCUGAGGAGCGAAAGCGUGGGUAGCAAACAGG